UUCUUGUUCGUAUAACGGUCAGUAUGCUCGCUUGUCAUCCACAUGAGCGCGGGAGAUCGGGGUUCGAUUCCCCGACAGGAAG